CAGUACAAGAGGAACAUGUUGGUGUGAAAGGCCAGUGGUCUCAGCCAGGCCUGAGUAAACAGAUUUUCUUUCUUAAAUUCCUACUGAUGGAGAAAGUAAGGAUUCUGGUGUGGCAAAAAAAAAAAAAAAAAGUAACUUGUCACUUAGUAAUUCAUGUGGAAAGAGACCUAGCCUACAAGAGGACAUUGUCAGCUGA